AGGCUACGCUUUAUAAAGGCCAGAAUGAAGACCUAUAGAAUGGUCUCUUUCUCGAGCAAAAGUGAGACAAGCCACAUGGUAUAAUAUGAUAGAAAACCAAACAAACAGUCCCUCCACUCAGCAACCAAACUGAUCCAAGGACACCUGGUUCACAGAAACAAAUGAAAGCAUCUAUUGUUCUGCUCCUGGCUCACCUCACCUGGGCACCCAACCCCCAGCACCCCUCCCUAUGCAGCUCCCCAGGGGGAACCAAACAGCACCUCCACAAAAUGACUUGUCAAACCGAGCCAAGAAGGACGAAGCUACUACACAAUCUGCUGCACUUUAAUAGGCCACCUGUGCCCCUGCUCAAAAUGGAAAAAAUGUAAAGCUGAAACGCGUCUACUGUCGUUUCACUUCCUUCAAAAUCAUGUUUCCUGCCUGCCCGGCCUUUGAGGACAAAUCAAUAUGGUGACCCAGCCCUCCCAGUUUACUAAAUAGCAUUUGACGCAUUCUGAUGAAUUAUGAUUGGUGGACGGGAGCAUAGGCUAGUUCCUAGCCACUCUGUAUCUCACUUCAUAAAUACACUUGAAUGCUAGCUAGAUAUGAGUGUCAUAACAAUUCUAGGAUUUUUUUUGAUAAAUGUUCUUUAAAAAUAACAGUAUGCUAUUAAGUAUGUUGUCUGCACUUGGAAAUUCAUGAUACUGCCAUUUGUCCUAGAUAAAACCUAAAGUACCGCAACUUU